rnacentral:rRNA from 1 species
UACGAAGGGGGCUAGCGUUGUUCGGAAUUACUGGGCGUAAAGCGUGUGUAGGUGGUUGUCCAAGUUGGAUGUGAAAGCCUUGAGCUCAACUCAAGAAAUGCAUUCAGGACUGGGCGACUAGAGGACCGGAGAGGAUAGUGGAAUUCCCAGUGUAGUGGUGAAAUACGUAGAGAUUGGGAAGAACACCAGUGGCGAAGGCGGCUAUCUGGACGGUUUCUGACACUAAGACUCGAAAGCGUGGGGAGCAAACAGG